UACAGUCACACCACAUUGAAACACCGAUUCCCGUACGAUCUCCAAAGUUAAUGCAACGUCGAGCCUGGUCAGUACUUAGAUGGGUGACCCCUUGGGAAUUCCAGGUGCUGUAAG